rnacentral:rRNA from 1 species
AUUGAACGCUGGCGGCAGGCCUAACACAUGCAAGUCGAGCGGAUGAAGGGAGCUUGCUCCUGGAUUCAGCGGCGGACGGGUGAGUAAUGCCUAGGAAUCUGCCUGGUAGUGGGGGAUAACGUCCGGAAACGGGCGCUAAUACCGCAUACGUCCUGAGGGAGAAAGUGGGGGAGCUUCGGACCUCACGCUAUCAGAUGAGCCUAGGUCGGAUUAGCUAGUUGGUGGGGUAAAGGCCUACCAAGGCGACGAUCCGUAACUGGUCUGAGAGGAUGAUCAGUCACACUGGAACUGAGACACGGUCCAGACUCCUACGGGAGGCAGCAGUCGGGAAUAUUGGACAAUGGGCGAAAGCCUGAUCCAGCCAUGCCGCGUGUGUGAAGAAGGUCUUCGGAUUGUAAAGCACUUUAAGUUGGGAGGAAGGGCAGUAAGUUAAUACCUUGCUGUUUUGACGUUACCAACAGAAUAAGCACCGGCUAACUUCGUG